rnacentral:rRNA from 2 species
GAAGGGUUACCGGCGGCGUGCUAUACAUGCAAGUCGAACGAGUUCUGAUUAUUGAAAGGUGCUUGCAUCUUGAUUUAAUUUUGAACGAGUGGCGGACGGGUGAGUAACACGUGGGUAACCUGCCCUUAAGUGGGGGAUAACAUUUGGAAACAGAUGCUAAUACCGCAUAAAUCCAAGAACCGCAUGGUUCUUGGCUGAAAGAUGGCGUAAGCUAUCGCUUUUGGAUGGACCCGCGGCGUAUUAGCUAGUUGGUGAGGUAACGGCUCACCAAGGCAAUGAUACGUAGCCGAACUGAGAGGUUGAUCGGCCACAUUGGGACUGAGACACGGCCCAAACUCCUACGGGAGGCAGCAGUAGGGAAUCUUCCACAAUGGACGCAAGUCUGAUGGAGCAACGCCGCGUGAGUGAAGAAGGCUUUCGGGUCGUAAAACUCUGUUGUUGGAGAAGAAUGGUCGGCAGAGUAACUGUUGUCGGCGUGACGGUAUCCAACCAGAAAGCCACGGCUAACUACGUGCCAGCAGCCGCGGUAAUACGUAGGUGGCAAGCGUUAUCCGGAUUUAUUGGGCGUAAAGCGAGCGCAGGCGGUUUUUUAAGUCUGAUGUGAAAGCCCUCGGCUUAACCGAGGAAGUGCAUCGGAAACUGGGAAACUUGAGUGCAGAAGAGGACAGUGGAACUCCAUGUGUAGCGGUGAAAUGCGUAGAUAUAUGGAAGAACACCAGUGGCGAAGGCGGCUGUCUGGUCUGUAACUGACGCUGAGGCUCGAAAGCAUGGGUAGCGAACAGGAUUAGAUACCCUGGUAGUCCAUGCCGUAAACGAUGAAUGCUAGGUGUUGGAGGGUUUCCGCCCUUCAGUGCCGCAGCUAACGCAUUAAGCAUUCCGCCUGGGGAGUACGACCGCAAGGUUGAAACUCAAAGGAAUUGACGGGGGCCCGCACAAGCGGUGGAGCAUGUGGUUUAAUUCGAAGCAACGCGAAGAACCUUACCAGGUCUUGACAUCUUUUGAUCACCUGAGAGAUCAGGUUUCCCCUUCGGGGGCAAAAUGACAGGUGGUGCAUGGUUGUCGUCAGCUCGUGUCGUGAGAUGUUGGGUUAAGUCCCGCAACGAGCGCAACCCUUAUGACUAGUUGCCAGCAUUUAGUUGGGCACUCUAGUAAGACUGCCGGUGACAAACCGGAGGAAGGUGGGGAUGACGUCAAAUCAUCAUGCCCCUUAUGACCUGGGCUACACACGUGCUACAAUGGAUGGUACAACGAGUUGCGAGACCGCGAGGUCAAGCUAAUCUCUUAAAGCCAUUCUCAGUUCGGACUGUAGGCUGCAACUCGCCUACACGAAGUCGGAAUCGCUAGUAAUCGCGGAUCAGCACGCCGCGGUGAAUACGUUCCCGGGCCUUGUACACACCGCCCGUCACACCAUGAGAGUUUGUAACACCCGAAGCCGGUGGCGUAACCCUUUUAGGGAGCGAGCCGUCUAAGGUGACAAAAU